CCUAACGUUUGGAAUUUUUCUAUGCCAGUUUACCAGAAAGAGAGUAGCAUUCCAGUACAACAUGAGACUCUUUGUGGCUCUUCUAGUGUUAUUGAUGUUCAUUGGUACGACAGUGUCAACAUAUAAUGGACCUGUGGGUUGUCCUUGGUUUUAUAGUGAAGUCAAAACUAAAACACGUCAAGCGCAACGGGGAUCAGUGGGCUUCCGUUGCGUGAAAUGUGCCAGUUGGUGGAACUCGCAUAAGCGAAAAUGGCACUGCCUUGAAGGCACUUGCGACGAGUCCAAAGAUCUCUGCGUCCAAGGGUUGUGACUAUGCUUAAUCACUUACAAGAACAGACAUAAAAGGAUAAUAAUUAGAACCUGGUGGUGAGAUCAGUAGAUCAUUUACAGAAUAUGCAAUUGAAAUUAAGAACCAAUAAAGAUGAUGAGCUAUUGACUGA